AUGCCAUCUUGUCCCGCCGAUUCCCGCCGUCGCCGCUGGCCUCCACGAGAGAUGCACCUCCUACGCCUUGACCACGAGCGUGCCGCCAUUGCACACUCGCUGCCACAUGUUCUCCACCGGUGCCGCAAUUCGCUAGUGGCUCACCUCCAUGUUGUCGCCGAUAACGCAUCUUGUCGACGACUCGGACAUGGAACUUCUCGUGGCAACGACCUCCCCUCCAUGGCCAUCACCUCCUUGCCGCCGGUGACGCAACUUACCGGGCAGCACCUCCUUGCCGCCGGUGACACGACUUACCGGGCAGCACUUUUCUCCAUCGCUCGACGCAGCUCGACGAUGAGGGAGACACACACCGGCCGUUAG
rnacentral:rRNA from 1 species